rnacentral:snoRNA from 1 species
AGUUUGUUGUGGUGAUUCCUACAAGGACGGUAUCUGAGUAAGGUGCCUCUUAGAUAUGCUCUCCUUCCUUGACUACAUCUAAAACUGAAAUAUUCUGAAGCAAGCA